AAGGAAACAAAAGUGAAAAAAAGGUUCACUUUCAACCCACAGACCACAGAGAAGCAGAGAAGACGUCACAGAGACUAAAGCGACUGUCAGGAAGCUUCCGGCACGACCACCCGGACCCCCGGCACCUGCCAGAGAAGCCCAACGACUAAAGUCAGCAGAUGAAACCAAGCAGGACCCGAAGAGCAGCGGACAGAAAACAGAUCUGCAACCCAACAGUUGGAAGCAAAACAAACGCCUGAGGUCAGACACCGUGACAGUGAACGCCUCACCUGGGUUACUGGAGCCGUCGUCCAUGUACUGCAGGUCGUCCGCUUCAGGGGACUGUGGGAAGACAAGAAGAAGACAGUGAGGAGGAUAAAUCGGAACAUAUCAGCGUUGGAGAUGAAAGGUUUCUCUACUCACCAGUCUGCCCGGUGACGUCAUCCCACGAGGACUGAGUUCUGCCAAACAAAAGAAGAAAUAUUUACUUUUAUAUGCAUUGAAUUUGAUUAUAUUUCAAU